GCCUAACACAUGCAAGUCGAGCGGAAACGAGUUAUCUGAACCUUCGGGGGACGAUAACGGCGUCGAGCGGCGGACGGGUGAGUAAUGCCUAGGAAAUUGCCCUGAUGUGGGGGAUAACCAUUGGAAACGAUGGCUAAUACCGCAUGAUGCCUACGGGCCAAAGAGGGGGACCUUCGGGCCUCUCGCGUCAGGAUAUGCCUAGGUGGGAUUAGCUAGUUGGUGAGGUAAGGGCUCACCAAGGCGACGAUCCCUAGCUGGUCUGAGAGGAUGAUCAGCCACACUGGAACUGAGACACGGUCCAGACUCCUACGGGAGGCAGCAGUGGGGAAUAUUGCACAAUGGGCGCAAGCCUGAUGCAGCCAUGCCGCGUGUGUGAAGAAGGCCUUCGGGUUGUAAAGCACUUUCAGUCGUGAGGAAGGUAGUGUAGUUAAUAGCUGCAUUAUUUGACGUUAGCGACAGAAGAAGCACCGGCUAACUCCGUGCCAGCAGCCGCGGUAAUACGGAGGGUGCGAGCGUUAAUCGGAAUUACUGGGCGUAAAGCGCAUGCAGGUGGUUUGUUAAGUCAGAUGUGAAAGCCCGGGGCUCAACCUCGGAAUAGCAUUUGAAACUGGCAGACUAGAGUACUGUAGAGGGGGGUAGAAUUUCAGGUGUAGCGGUGAAAUGCGUAGAGAUCUGAAGGAAUACCGGUGGCGAAGGCGGCCCCCUGGACAGAUACUGACACUCAGAUGCGAAAGCGUGGGGAGCAAACAGGAUUAGAUACCCUGGUAGUCCACGCCGUAAACGAUGUCUACUUGGAGGUUGUGGCCUUGAGCCGUGGCUUUCGGAGCUAACGCGUUAAGUAGACCGCCUGGGGAGUACGGUCGCAAGAUUAAAACUCAAAUGAAUUGACGGGGCCCGCACAAGCGGUGGAGCAUGUGGUUUAAUUCGAUGCAACGCGAAGAAC
rnacentral:rRNA from 1 species